GCGGACGUGGUGGAAUUGGUAGACACGCCAGAUUUAGGUUCUGGUGCCGCAAGGUGUGAGAGUUCGAGUCUCUCCGUCCGCACCA
rnacentral:tRNA from 7 species